rnacentral:rRNA from 1 species
GAUGAACGCUAGCUACAGGCUUAACACAUGCAAGUCGAGGGGAAACGCCAUCGAAAGCUUGCUUUUGAUGGGCGUCGACCGGCGCACGGGUGAGUAACGCGUAUCCAACCUGCCCAUCACUUGGGAAUAACCUUGCGAAAGUAAGACUAAUACCCAAUGACAUCCCACGAAGACAUCUGAAUGGGAUUAAAGAUUUAUCGGUGAUGGAUGGGGAUGCGUCUGAUUAGCUUGUUGGCGGGGUAACGGCCCACCAAGGCAACGAUCAGUAGGGGUUCUGAGAGGAAGGUCCCCCACAUUGGAACUGAGACACGGUCCAAACUCCUACGGGAGGCAGCAGUGAGGAAUAUUGGUCAAUGGGCGAGAGCCUGAACCAGCCAAGUAGCGUGCAGGAUGACGGCCCUAUGGGUUGUAAACUGCUUUUAUAAGGGAAUAAAGUGGGUCUCGGGAGACUUUCUGCAUGUACCUUAUGAAUAAGGACCGGCUAAUUCCGUG